UGCAACGCGAAGAACCUUACCUGGGCUUGACAUGUACCGGAUCGGGCUAGAGAUAGUCUUUCCCUUGUGGUCGGUAUACAGGUGGUGCAUGGUUGUCGUCAGCUCGUGUCGUGAGAUGUUGGGUUAAGUCCCGCAACGAGCGCAACCCUUGUCUUAUGUUGCCAGCACGUUAUGGUGGGAACUCAUGAGAGACUGCCGGGGUUAAACUCGGAGGAAGGUGGGGAUGACGUCAAAUCAUCAUGCCCCUUAUGUCCAGGGCUUCACACAUGCUACAAUGGUCGAUACAAUGGGCAGCGACAUCGUGAGGUGAAGCGAAUCCCUGAAAGCCGGCCUUAGUUCGGAUUGGGGUCUGCAACUCGACCCCAUGAAGUCGGAGUCGCUAGUAAUCGCAGAUCAGCAACGCUGCGGUGAAUACGUUCCCGGGCCUU
rnacentral:rRNA from 1 species